rnacentral:rRNA from 1 species
AGCGAACGCUGGCGGCGUGCCUAACACAUGCAAGUCGAACGUGAACGCGAUCAAUCCUAGGUCAAGUGGCGUACGGGUGAGUAACACGUAGGUAAUCUACCCCAGUCUCUGGUUUCACCGGCCGAAAGGUUGGCUAAUACUGGCUAGAACGGCGUACUCCGUAAUUGGGUUUUCCGGGAAACGUCGCCUGUAAAAAGGCCUUCGUUCUGGGUUUCGCCUGCGUCCCAUCAGCUGGUUGGUGGGGUAAAAGCUUACCAAGGCAAUGACGGGUAGCUGGUCUGAGAGGAAGAUAAGCCACACUGGAACUGAAACACGGUCAAGACUCCUACGGGAGGCAGCAGGGGGGAAGCUUGAGCAAUGGACGAAAGUCUGACGCAGCAACGCCGCGUGAGUGAAGAAGGCCUUCGGGUUGUAAAGCUCUGUCGAGUGGGACGAAAAUGCUUGGAGUUCACAGCUCCAGGAACUGACGGUACCACUAAAGGAAGCACCGGCUAACUCCGUG